GUGAUGAAAGUGGACAAGUUUAAAUACUCGGGGUCGGGUGUACACAGAAAUAGAGAGUGUGGUGGAGAGGUGAAGCGGAGAGUGCAUGGCAUAGUGUGGCAGGAGUGAUUUGUUAUGGAAGGGUAUCUGCCAGAGUAAAAGGGAACGUUUACAAGACAGUAGUGAGACCUGCUACGUUGUAUGGCUUGGAGGGAUGUCGUGACACUGACUUAAAGACAGGAGGGGGUAGAAGCUGGAGGUGGCAGAGAUGAGGAAGCUUCCAAAUUCUAAUUGGGAAUGAAACAAUGAACAGGAUUAUGAAAGAGUUUGUUAAAGGUACAGUGAGAUUGAGAUGGUUUUGGCAUGUGCAGAGGAGAGAUGAGAGUUAUAUUGGGAGAAGGGUUCUGAGGACGAAGCCGACAGGCAGAAGAAGGAGAGCACGGCAAAAGAGGACAUUUAUAAAUGCAGUGAGGAAGGACACACAGGUCGUUGUGGUGACAGAGGAGAACGCUCAGGACAUGGAGACAAAUGAUCCGCUGUGACGACCCCUAAUGGGAACAGUCGAAGGAAGAAGGGUCUCCAGUAGAUCUGCUAGAGUGAGUUCACCUCACUUGCAUGCAGUUGGACUUUGGGAAGAAACUGGAGCACAGACACGGGGAGAACAUGCAAACUCCAGACAGAAAUGGGCGGACCCGGACCUCUCCAUCUGGGAACUGAACCCAGGACCUUCUUGCUGGGAGGCAUCAGUGCUAAAUUAAAUGUACAUUUAGAAUCACAGACAUUAACAUGGAGUUGCCAAACUUUUCAGCUAUAACAGUCUUCACCAUGCUGGUAAGACCACAACAUUGUUGGAUGUGUUUGUGAAAAUUCAGUCUAAAGAGUAUUUUAGAGGCCAGGCAGUAAUGUUCUAUUCUUUUCAA